rnacentral:rRNA from 1 species
UACGUAGGGGGCAAGCGUUGUCCGGAAUUAUUGGGCGUAAAGAGCGUGUAGGCGGUCCGGUAAGUCGGCUGUGAAAGUCCAGGGCUCAACCCUGGGAUGCCGGUCGAUACUGCCGGACUAGAGUUCGGAAGAGGCGAGUGGAAUUCCCGGUGUAGCGGUGAAAUGCGCAGAUAUCGGGAGAAACACCUAUGGCGAAGGCAGCUCGCUGGGACGUUACUGACGCUGAGACGCGAAAGCGUGGGGAGCAAACAGG